rnacentral:rRNA from 1 species
AUUGAACGCUGGCGGCAUGCCUUACACAUGCAAGUCGAACGGCAGCGCGGACUUCGGUCUGGCGGCGAGUGGCGAACGGGUGAGUAAUACAUCGGAACGUACCCUGUUGUGGGGGAUAACUAGUCGAAAGAUUAGCUAAUACCGCAUACGACCUGAGGGUGAAAGUGGGGGACCGCAAGGCCUCACGCAGCAGGAGCGGCCGAUGUCUGAUUAGCUAGUUGGUGGGGUAAAGGCCCACCAAGGCGACGAUCAGUAGCUGGUCUGAGAGGACGAUCAGCCACACUGGGACUGAGACACGGCCCAGACUCAUACGGGAGGCAGCAGUGGGGAAUUUUGGACAAUGGGCGCAAGCCUGAUCCAGCCAUUCCGCGUGCAGGAUGAAGGCCCUCGGGUUGUAAACUGCUUUUGUACGGAACGAAAAGGCUCUGGUUAAUACCUGGGGCUCAUGACGGUACCGUAAGAAUAAGCACCGGCUAACUACGUGCCAGCCGCCGCAGUAA